AGCGAACGCUGGCGGCAGGCCUAACACAUGCAAGUCGAACGAACCUUUCGGGGUUAGUGGCGGACGGGUGAGUAACACGUGGGAACGUGCCUUUAGGUUCGGAAUAACUCAGGGAAACUUGUGCUAAUACCGAAUGUGCCCUUCGGGGGAAAGAUUUAUCGCCUUUAGAGCGGCCCGCGUCUGAUUAGCUAGUUGGUUGAGGUAAUGGCUCACCAAGGCGACGAUCAGUAGCUGGUCUGAGAGGAUGAUCAGCCACAUUGGGACUGAGACACGGCCCAAACUCCUACGGGAGGCAGCAGUGGGGAAUCUUGCGCAAUGGGCGAAAGCCUGACGCAGCCAUGCCGCGUGAAUGAUGAAGGUCUGAGGAUUGUAAAAUUCUUUCACCGGGGACGAUAAUGACGGUACCCGGAGAAGAAGCCCCGGCUAACUUCGUG
rnacentral:rRNA from 1 species